CCUACGGGGGGCAGCAGUGAGGAAUAUUGGUCAAUGGGCGAGAGCCUGAACCAGCCAAGUCGCGUGAAGGAUGACGGCCCUACGGGUUGUAAACUUCUUUUGUCAGGGAGCAAUUGGGUCCACGCGUGGGCUUAGCGAGAGUACCUGAAGAAAAAGCAUCGGCUAACUCCGUGCCAGCAGCCGCGGUAAUACGGAGGAUGCGAGCGUUAUCCGGAUUUAUUGGGUUUAAAGGGUGCGUAGGCGGAAUAUCAAGUCAGCGGUAAAAAUUCGGGGCUCAACGCCGUCGUGCCGUUGAAACUGAUGGUCUUGAGUGGGCGAGAGGUAUGCGGAAUGCGUGGUGUAGCGGUGAAAUGCAUAGAUAUCACGAAGAACUCCGAUUGCGAAGGCAGCAUACCGGCGCCCAACUGACGCUGAAGCACGAAAGCGUGGGUAUCGAACAGGAUUAGAUACCCCUGUAGUC
rnacentral:rRNA from 1 species